GAGUGGUUUGGAAAAUGAGGGGUGGUUGGUGUUCAGCUGUGGGAUGGGGUUGCUGCUGACAUUGGCAGUGACCUACUGAGACUUGGCCCAAGCUGUUGGCAUUCAAGAUUUUACUGGGUUCGAGUCAUGUUAAAUUUUGCUUCACUCUUUUUGCACUACCAUUGAAUGAAUGCUGGUGGAUGCAUUCGUAAUGCAGCGAUCAGAGCCAGCAGUUUGGUACGGUAUGCUUAAAAACUUUCUGACACCCA
rnacentral:lncRNA from 1 species